AGUUGUUGAUUUACAUGCCCCACCCACAUCUUGCACUUAGCGACUGUGCAGUGUGACUGUAGCUUCAUGAAGAGGCAUCUUCAUUGUUGCUGUUUCUCCUUCAGGUUCUUGUCCCUCAUAAGAAUUGUGGGAAGAAUACUACUGCCCCAGGAAGGAAAGUAGGGGAGGAAGUCUCUGGCUCCUGUGUUUGCUGAGAAGUUAAUAUCACCAAGCAGGAGGGGAGCCAAGCUCAAGGACCAUGAGAGCCACCAGGAGAAUGACGACCGGAACAGUGAAUUGGACCAGGAUGAGGAAGGAGAUUUGGCUAUGUGAAUUUUAAAUCUGCUGAUGAUCAAGAAAAGGCCCUGGAACUAAGUGAUACAAAAGUCCUUGGGUUUGAAAUUAAAUUUAAGAAACCAAAGAGAAAGGAAACAAAGGUAUGCAAACAAGGUAAUUUGUUCAAAGAUAUCGAUGUAUCUAGAAGAUUCUGGGUCAGGCAGGAAUAUCACAUUCUUUUUAAUU
rnacentral:lncRNA from 1 species